rnacentral:rRNA from 1 species
CGGAAGUUACUGGGCGUAAAGACGCAUGCAGGCGGCCUGUUAAGUCAGAUGUGAAAGACCCGGGGCGUUAACCUCGGAAUUGCAUUUGAAACUGGCAGGCUAGAGUCUUGUAGAGGGGGGUAGGAAGUUUCAGGUGUAGCGGUGAAAUGCGUAGAGAUCUGAAGGAAUACCAGUGGCGAAGGCGGCCCCCUCGGACAAAGACUGACGCUCAGAUGCGAAAAGCGUGGGGAGCAAACAGGAUUAGAUACCCUGGUAG